rnacentral:rRNA from 1 species
ACGGGAGGCAGCAGUGGGGAAUAUUGCACAAUGGGCGAAAGCCUGAUGCAGCGACGCCGCGUGAGCGAAGAAGUAUUUCGGUAUGUAAAGCUCUAUCAGCAGGGAAGAAAAUGACAGUACCUGACUAAGAAGCCCCGGCUAACUACGUGCCAGCAGCCGCGGUAAUACGUAGGGGGCAAGCGUUAUCCGGAUUUACUGGGUGUAAAGGGAGCGUAGGUGGCAUGGCAAGCCAGAAGUGAAAACCCGGGGCUCAACCCCGCGGACUGCUUUUGGAACUGUCAGGCUAGAGUGCAGGAGGGGCAGGCGGAAUUCCUAGUGUAGCGGUGAAAUGCGUAGAUAUUAGGAGGAACACCGGUGGCGAAGGCGGCCUGCUGGACUGUAACUGACACUGAGGCUCGAAAGCGUGGGGAGCAAACAGGAUUAGAUACCCUGGUA